rnacentral:rRNA from 1 species
GGAAUAUUGCGCAAUGGACGGAAGUCUGACGCAGCGACGCCGCGUGGAUGAUGAAGGCCUUCGGGUUGUAAAAUCCUUUUCAGGGGGAAGAGCGAGGACGGUACCCCUGGAAUAAGCGUCGGCUAACUACGUGCCAGCAGCCGCGGUAAGACGUAGGACGCGAGCGUUAUCCGGAUUUACUGGGCGUAAAGCGUCUGUAGGCGGAAGUGUAAGUUGGACGUGAAAGCUCCGGGCUCAACUCGGAGAGGCCGUUCAAUACUGCACAACUAGAGGCCAUCAGAGGGGCGUGGAAUUUCCGGUGUAGCGGUAAAAUGCGCAGAUAUCGGAAGGAACACCAGUGGCGAAGGCGGCGCCCUGGGGUGGGCCUGACGCUAAGAGACGAAAGCUAGGGGAGCGAA